rnacentral:lncRNA from 1 species
GUCUUACUUCACUAAACUACUAGUUAGCUUUCCAACAAAUAAUCAAAACACUCCAUGUAACCAAAGAUGAAUUCAAUCAUUAGGCAAGCUUCAGAGAAUAAAUAGAAAUAUAAUUCUAAAACUUCAUUAUUGGAAUUUAAAAUAAUACUACUUUUCUUUAAUUCUAGUAAAGCCGUUAAACCAAUCAGGAAGCAGUAGAAAUAUGAAUGGAUGGGAGUGAUGGAUUCUUCAUUGCAAAAUGUUUACUGCCUGAGGUUAGAGAUAUGAAUUAGAGACCUACUCUGACCAAAGUUCCAUGACAGGAGCUGUGGGAAGAUAGAAACCUUAACACUAUACAGUCUGAUGUGAAGGAACUGGAACUCUGAUGGGGAUGCACGUGUCCUCAGGUAACUGAAAGCCAUCACCUUCAUUACCUUUUCAGACCUGCUAUCCUCAGACA